UCUUCCUAUGAGUGUGAAAACCCCUUCAGCUCCUACAGUCCUUGCCCUAACUUCCCUAUUGGAGUCCUUGUGCUCACUCCAAUGUUUGGCUGUGUACAUACACUUCUGUAUAGGAUGACUCUGGCACAGCCUCUCAGGGGACAAUUAUACUGGGCUCCUGUCAGUUUCACCAUUAUCAAACUCUUGUGCAUUUGAUGCUUGCCUAUGGCGAGGCAGUGGCCCCUACUUGUUUAAGAUGGAGAAACAUCAGGACUACAUUAAGGAAGGAAUGUUUUAUUUAAAGCCUCCGUUGGUAACACACUACCCUAUUUCCCCUUACAAUUUGCUCACUCUAAUUGUUAAAACAUUUCCUGCUAUUUCUGAGCUGUGGAGACCACAAAAAUGUACAGAUGAUGCUCGACCAGGUCUACAUAGAGGAGCAAGUUUGUCUUUCAUCUGUCUUUUAAAAGUGUUUGAGACACUUCUUGGAUUACUUGUUCCUCUUUUACUACUACUUGUUAUUUAGAACUAACCUCCUUAAUGAUACAGGUUUUUAACUGAGUAGUUAGUGAGUCCUCAACGUUCGGAAAGUUUCGAGUGAAAUUCAGCAAGACAGAACACAGACAAGCAAACCCACCAGUAGAUGUAUAGGAAGAAAUGUAGCUGCAAAACUGAUUGCAGUGUGAACUGGGGAUUGUUGGACUCUAUUCCCUGAUUUAUAGUUCUAUUUUAAAGAAUGUAAAAUGCUAUCUCACUUUUAAAAUUUGGGGUAUCUGUUGUAAUUUAAUUUUCAAGGUGAAUUACAAACAAGGAGAAAUUCUUUUAUCAGAUAUUUAGAAACUAAUGGCAUUCUCGAUUAUUUGACAAAACUUUUAAGUACCUAAAUAACAUUAUUAAUCUUAACAGAAUCCAGUUCCAUUUCAGGCAUAAGAUUCUACUUCCGGAGAACAAUUACAUGUGUUAAGAUUUAACUAAAUUUUCCUACUGCCCUGCGUUCUCAAUUUUCUCUGUAUAUCUCAUAUCUCUCAGAGCUCCCAACAUGAGAAAUGAGAAAUGAAAGUAAAUCAAUACCCAGAUGUGUCAAACAUAUUUUAAUCAAGUUUCUCUGUGAAAGAAGACAAUUGUUUUGUGAAGCAUUCCGAACAUAAUAGACUUUAUGAUGGCAUGAAGGAUGAGCUCUGGGGUCCUAUUCAUGUUUGACAUUCUAUAAAGGGCUGAGAAAACACUUUUUGAAGGAAGAUCAACAAGAUAAAAAAGUAAAUGUUACCAAGAAUCUAUAAGUACUGACUCCUACAAGAGAAAGAAUGCAGUAAACAAAAUGACCAGCCAACCAACCAAUGAAAACCAAGUGUGUUUUGUCAAUUUUCACACCUAAGUGAACUGAGAAAAUGCCCUCUGCUUCCUUCUGUGGUGUCAGGAAGAAAUUCAAACCGUACAUGCCCUUCUCCAAAAGCAUCUACCCCACUUAUUGUCUUGUGUAGCCACAAUGGGGAGGGGAAAAAUAAGGUUUGAAGCAAAACACACAGUAAGCCAAUAUUCCUGUUCAAAGUGUCACACCAUGAAAUGCCAUCAACAUUUCAAGUUCAGAAGAUGUUAUCGAGAUUUUUAAAUGACAACAAGACAGAAGUACCAUUCGGGGCAUAAGAAUUCCGGUAUUUGGAUUAUUGUUUCUUUUAAGAAAGUGAUCUAACGUGCAUCUCAUUUAUAUUUCAUGCAAUUUUUACAAAAUGUUUACUGACUCACAUUGAUUGAUUUUCAUGGCUGAAGUGUUGCAGAUAUUUCGUUAUUGUUUCCCUAUUAGUAUGAGAUAUGAGAUGUUUGCUGUUUACUUUUACCCAUUUCAUUUACUGUGCUUAUCAUUUAUCAUAUUGGUUUUAUUUACUUUUUAAUCAUUUUUCUUCUGUCUUGUUUUUUUUUAUUUAACCUGAAGUUUCCAAUAAUUACAUGAGUGUAAUGGUUAACUGUGGACACUAAUUUUACCACAGCGAAUAAUAUCUUCAACACUGAUAAAGCAUAAUUGUGAGUAGAAUUUUGAGGCUGUUUCCAGUGUUUGCCCUAUGAAGCUGAAUGGAAUAGGAGAGAGAAUAUGCUGUCAAGUAGCACUCAACAUUAAAUCAUCUGCCAAAGCCAAUAGCUUGUGGAAAUAUGUUAUUAUAGUCAUAUUUCAAUCAGCCAGUCUUGGCCCUGGAUAUUAGACCUCUAGGCCUGGAAAGGGAUCCAUAUCUAG
rnacentral:sRNA from 1 species